GUGUCAGCCGCCGCGGUAAGACAGAGGCCACGAACGUUGUUCGGAAUUACUGGGCAUAAAGCGCACGUAGGCGGCUAGGUCCGUCCGAUGUGAAAUACCCCGGCUCAACCGGGGAACUGCAUCGGAUACAGCCUGGCUUGAGGAUGGUUGGGGUGAGUGGAACUCCUGGUGGAGCGGUGAAAUGCGUAGAUAUCAGGAGGAACACCGGUGGCGAAAGCGGCUCACUGGACCAUUACUGACGCUGAGGUGCGAAAGCUAGGGGAGCAAACGGGAUUAGAUACCCGCGUAGUCC
rnacentral:rRNA from 1 species